GGAUGGAGUCCAGACAGAAUACCAGGAGUUUGUGGCAUUGCCUAUGUGACAGAUGGCCAUACACCACUCUGCAGGGGGCUGUGGGCGGUAGUAGUUGUGAUAGGAGCCAGGGGCCCAGGAGGCAUGGCCAAAUUCCUACCAUCCCAUGAAGGCAGAAGUCACUGACCACCAGAUCUCUCGGAACCAGGCUGUCUGUGCACAGUUCAGUGCCCCACAUCACACGAGGUUCUAGGUGCCCACUGUUGGAAGGAGCUUUGGAAAUACAAGCUGAAUCAAUGCACCCCGGUGUUAAGGAUGAAGAGUGAGUUCAUGCUUGCAUCUCCUU
rnacentral:lncRNA from 1 species